CAGUCGCCGCGGGAACACGUAGGGUGCAAGCGUUAAUCGGAAUUACUGGGCGUAAAGCGUGCGCAGGCGGAUAGGUCAGUCUGUCUUAAAAGUUCGGGGCUUAACCCCGUGAUGGGAUGGAAACUGCCAAUCUAGAGUAUCGGAGAGGAAAGUGGAAUUCCUAGUGUAGCGGUGAAAUGCGUAGAUAUUAGGAAGAACACCAGUGGCGAAGGCGACUUUCUGGACGAAAACUGACGCUGGGGCGCGAAAGCCAGGGGAGCGAACGGGAUUAGAUACCCGUGUAGUCCCUGUCUCUUAUACA
rnacentral:rRNA from 1 species